CAAAAAAACCCUAGCCACCAUGGAUGGAGCUUGAAGCCUUAGGCAUUGACCUUGAUCUUUGAGGCCCUUCCACUUACUUUAGACCAUAAAGCUUGGAAUACUUUUUGUUCCCCUCAUCCUCCUCUUCAAAACCCUUGAAGGAUCGAGCCUAACUCCUAGUUUUGCUUUGGUAUCUAGAGAUUCAAUUCUCUAGUGAGUUGAAGGUAGCAAGCUGAAAAAUCUGUUUUGCGGACCGAAAAUUUGGGGCAAUUUCAUUUCGGCGGUAAUUGGGAUUUUCAUUCCAAUAGAGGUACAAGAAUCAAAGUUGGGGUCUUCAUUAUGCUUGGAUGGUUUGUGGACUUGGGGACUUCCAUUUUUUGUGAAGGUUGGCUUGGAAUGCCAAUUGUAGACUUAUAUGUAAAAAUAUGUAUAUUCGAUUCCAUGUAUGUAAUGUGUACUUAAGUACACUUCUUUCAAUGUAUUUGAUAUGUAUGAGAUGAGGCCGGAGGCCAAUGACAUGUAUAUUGUAUUCUA